rnacentral:rRNA from 1 species
UACCCCUGGGGUAGGGGUGAAAUCCUAUAAUCCCAGGGGGACCGCCAGUGGCGAAGGCGCCCGGCUGGAACGGGUCCGACGGUGAGGGACGAAGGCCAGGGGAGCGAACCGGAUUAGAUACCCGGGUAGUCCUGGCUGUAAAGGAUGCGGGCUAGGUGUCGGGCGAGCUUCGAGCUCGCCCGGUGCCGGAGGGAAGCCGUUAAGCCCGCCGCCUGGGGAGUACGGCCGCAAGGCUGAAACUUAAAGGAAUUGGCGGGGGAGCACUACAAGGGGUGGAGCGUGCGGUUUAAUUGGAUUCAACGCCGGGAACCUCACCGGGGGCGACGGCAGGAUGAAGGCCAGGCUGAAGGUCUUGCCGGACGCGCCGAGAGGAGGUGCAUGGCCGCCGUCAGCUCGUACCGUGAGGCGUCCACUUAAGUGUGGUAACGAGCGAGACCCGCGCCCCCAGUUGCCAGUCCUCCCCGCUGGGGAGGAGGCACUCUGGGGGGACCGCCGGCGAUAAGCCGGAGGAAGGAGCGGGCGACGGUAGGUCAGUAUGCCCCGAAACCCCCGGGCUACACGCGCGCUACAAUGGGCGGGACAAUGGGAACCGACCCCGAAAGGGGAAGGGAAUCCCCUAAACCCGCCCUCAGUUCGGAUCGCGGGCUGCAACUCGCCCGCGUGAAGCUGGAAUCCCUAGUACCCGCGUGUCAUCAUCGCGCGGCGAAUACGUCCCUGCUCCUUGCACACACCGCCCGUCACUCCACCCGAGCGGGGUCCGGGUGAGGCCUGGUCUCCCUUCGGGGAGGCCGGGUCGAGCCUGGGCUCCGUGAGGGGGGAGAAGUCGUAACAAGGUAGCCGUAGGGGAACCUACGGCUCGAUCACCUCCUAUCGCCGGAA